UUCAGUCAGUCGUCAUCUCGCUAAUUCGUCGGUGUCGCGCGUGCCAAUUUUCGGGGUCCCACGCCAUUUUUCCCUCCAAGAAGUCUUGUUCUUCCAGAUUAAUGUCUUUAUCCGAUCGGAAAUCAUUUCGAUACGGUGUUAACUUUCUUGUUUCGCUGAAAACUUCAUAGUUCGCGCGUGUUUCAGUUCAAUGUGCGUAUGUGACCGGAUUAAAACAGUGCACGCGAAAUGGCUAUGAUUGCGUUUUCGUGAUUCGGAGUGCCUCUCACGCGGUUUCUCAAAUGCGUUACCCGGCUUUCGUCUCGAAAUUCGUCACCUAAAGAUUAAUAUCGCGGGUGUUAAUGUGUUGAGCGUGAUAUUAAUUUCCAAUCAUCCAUAUUAUUCACAAAUUUCCAGAGAUCGGACCGUGAGAUUAAAUGAACAUUUUUCAGUGCGUUUUGGUGAUAGGAUCGUGAGAUUCCAUGAAAAUUUUUUAAUGCGUUUUAGUGAUCGGAUCGUGAGAUUCUAUGAACAUUUUCGGAUCUGGAGUGUUUACAGCUUGGAGUCAUGCAAAUUGGAUAUCUCUGUAAUGGUACGUACUCUGAUUUUAUUUUUUCCACUGCGAGAGGAGUACAUAACUAAAAUUUGCAGCGACGCGAUGUGGAGAGUUUCUUGGAACUCGAACAGUUCUCUUUAAAUCCAGAGAAAAACUAGCGUGGGUGUUAAACGACACGCCAUGAAAAUGGGAGAGGGCGGGCCAGUCGAAGAUGAUACAAAGUAAUCCAAAAGUUCCUAGUACCCUUAUAACCCUUAGAGUUCACGGCCAUUUCCAGAGUGGUCCCCCAAUCGUUUUCGAGGGAGGGGCGAAGGUAAUUUCCUUUGACUUGGAAAUACCGACAAAAUUUCGAGUCUCUUUCUCAAUUUUUUAAAAGUUACAGGGUGCCUGGUACCGGUGGUGUUGGACUUUUGGAUCACCCUGUAUACAUGAGAGUCGCCUCCUGGUACAAGUGUUUUAGUACAGGCCUAAAUUUUACUAUUUAAAAAUACUUUUUAUCUCAGAAUCCGGUUAAAAAAUUUCCCGCAUUUUUGAGCUCCCUGCUUCAGAAUAUUAUGCAUUUAAACGCAGAUGAGUCAUACUGCUAUAUCGAUAGUGAAACUGCCAAAAAGCGUAUGUUUUUGCGAUGUCGCAAAAUAUCCACUCCACUUUAUUUUCAUCCCAAGGAAAAGCCAAAAAUUUUGCUUGCUACGAGGGUCAUCCAAAAAGUAAGUUCACCCCUUUCAUAUUUCCGAAACUAAAAGAGGUAAAUCAAAUCGGUAAAAAAGAACUUUUUACUUAUAUCCUCAGCUCUCCAUAGGUACCAAGAUUUUUAAAUUUGGACCAUUGGUUGCCGAGAUAUUCGAUUUUUACGUGAACAACUCCCGACCAGUUCCGUCCACCAAACGACGCGCUGCGAUUCCCGUCACGCUAACUGAAUUGACUGUGUUCCCCACACAUCUACGUAGGAAUAACCAACUCAAAUAUUCUAAGAUUAGCUUUAAAAUAAUCUUACCUUAUUUUUCGACGUAAUUUCCGUUCCUAUUGAUGCAUUUUUCAUAGCGUUUCUGAAGCUUCUUAAUGCCGUUCUCAAAGAACACUUUUGGUUGACUCUUGAACCAGCCAUUGACUGCUUCCAUCACCUGCUGAUCGUUCUCGAAGUGCUGGCCACCUUUGUGCUUCUUGAGUUGCGGAAAAAGAUGAUAGUCACUCGGGGCAAGGUCUGGAGAUUAUGGAGGAUGAGGUGACACCUCCCACGCAAAUUUGUCCAACAAAUUUGGGUCUCUUUCGCCGUUUGAGGUCUGGCAUUAUCGUGAAGGAAUAGGGGACCACGAGACAAGAGACCCGGUCGCUUGUUUUUUAUUGCCAAUCGCAACGAAUUCAAUAUUCCACAAUACCGUGGUGCAUUAAUUGUACACCCUUUCUCCAAAUAAUGGACGAGAAGUACUCCUUGAGAGUCCAAGAAGACAAAAGCGACGCGACAACGCGCGGUGCAUCUCACAUCAGCGCGUCGUUUGGUGGACGGAACUGGUCGGGAGUUGUUCACGUAAAAAUCAAAUAUCUCGGCAACCAGUGGUUCAAAUUUAAAAAUCUUGGUACCUAUGGAGAGCUGAGGAUAUAAGUAAAAAGUUCUUUUUUACCGAUUUGAUUUACCUCUUUUAGUUUCGGAAAUAUGAAAGGGGUGAACUUACUUUUUGGAUGACCCUCGUAUUUUCAUAGAAUAUUCUUCAGUUGAAGGAGAUUGUUUAGCAGAGUAAGAAAUGAACUUUUCGAUUCUAUCAGCGCGGUUUUGCAGUUUUACUGUCGAUAACAUAGUCUUGCGUGGAACCUUAAGUUGCAUUGUCAUGCUCUAUUACCAAAAUAAAACAUGUAACCAACGACUAACUAAUAACACGUAAUUUUUAGUGACUUUACAUA
rnacentral:lncRNA from 1 species